ACAAGAUGAGCCCUUUAGAUGACGAGUCUUAUUGGGUAUCGCCCAUGCAGACAACAUCUUUUUAUACCAUUCAUGCAUUUCUGAUC
rnacentral:snoRNA from 1 species